GAUGAACGCCAGCGGCAGGCCUAACACAUGCAAGUCGAGGGGCAGCACGUCUUCGGAUGGUGGCGACCGGCGCACGGGUGCGUAACGCGUAUGCAACCGUACCUCUUACAGUGGGAUAGCCCAGAGAAAUUUGGAUUAAUACCGCAUAGUAUACAGAUUCAGCAUUGGGACUGUAUUAAACAUUUAUGGGUAAGAGAUGGGCAUGCGUUCUAUUAGUUAGUUGGAGUGGUAACGGCACCCCCAAGACAGCGAUAGAUAGGGGCCCUGAGAGGGGGAUCCCCCGACACUGGUACUGAGACACGGACCAGACUCCUACGGGAGGCAGCAGUGAGGAAUAUUGGACAAUGGGCGAGAGCCUGA
rnacentral:rRNA from 1 species